rnacentral:rRNA from 1 species
UACGUAGGGGGCAAGCGUUGUCCGGAUUUAUUGGGCGUAAAGAGCUCGUAGGCGGUUUGUCGCGUCUGCUGUGAAAACCUAAGGCUCAACCUUGGGCUUGCAGUGGGUACGGGCAGACUAGAGUGCGGUAGGGGUGACUGGAAUUCCUGGGUGAGUAGCGGUUGGAAUGCGCAGAUAGUCAGGAGGAACAGCCAAUGGCGAAGGCAGAUCUCUGGGCCGUAACUGACGCUGAGGAGCGAAAGCAUGGGGAGCGAACAGG